rnacentral:tRNA from 1 species
AGAUGUGUAGCUCAAUCAAUAGAGUGCUUGCUUCGCAUGCAAGAAGCCCUGGGUUCAAACCCCACCACUGCAU